GACGAACGCUGGCGGCGUGCUUAACACAUGCAAGUCGAACGGUAAGGCCCUUCGGGGUACACGAGUGGCGAACGGGUGAGUAACACGUGGGUGAUCUGCCCUGCACUUCGGGAUAAGCCUGGGAAACUGGGUAUAAUACCGGAUAGGACCCUGGGAUGCAUGUCCUGGGGUGGAAAGCUUUUGCGGUGUGGGAUGGGCCCGCGGCCUAUCAGCUUGUUGGUGGGGUGAGGGCCUACCAAGGCGACGACGGGUAGCCGGCCUGAGAGGGUGACCGGGCACACUGGGACUGAGAUACGGCCCAGACUCCUACGGGAGGCAGCAGUGGGGAAUAUUGCACAAUGGGCGCAAGCCUGAUGCAGCGACGCCGCGUGAGGGAUGACGGCCUUCGGGUUGUAAACCUCUUUCAGCACCGACGAAGCGCAAGUGACGGUAGGUGCAGAAGAAGGACCGGCCAACUACGUGCCAGCAGCCGCGGUAA
rnacentral:rRNA from 1 species